rnacentral:rRNA from 1 species
GUCUAUGGCCAUGCCAUCCUGAACAAGCCCGAUCCUGUCUGAUCUCGGAAGCCAAGCAGGGUCGGGCCUGGUUAGUACUUGGAUGGGAGACCACCUAGGAAAACCAGGUAUUGUAGACG